rnacentral:misc_RNA from 1 species
UCUCCGUUGGUGAACCAGCGGAGGGAUCAUUACAGAGUUGCAAAACUCCCAAACCAUUGUGAACGCUACCUAUCCCGUUGCUUCGGCGGGCGGCCCGGGCCCCGCGCCCGGCGCCCCCCGGCCCCCCGUGGGCGCCCGCCGGAGGUAAACCAAACCCUUGAAUUGCAUGGCCUCUCUGAGUCUUCCGUACUGAAUAAGUCGAAACUUUCAACAACGGAUCUCUUGGUUCUG